rnacentral:lncRNA from 1 species
GAGUUGGCGGCCAUCAUCUUUGCCUCGAAAAUAUGGCGUCAUUGCCUCUCUAGUUAGACCUUUAAAAUUUACAUUGACCAUAAAAGUUUAAAGUACAUCUUCUAGUAGAUGGAGUUAAAUAUGAGACAAAGAUGCUAGAUAAAACUCCUGAAGGACUGACUGCAAGAUCAUCUACUAUCCCGAUAGAGAAAAUGUAGUCGUUAAUGCACUGAGUCGAAAGAAGUUUGUAGUGUUGGCCCAAACUAUGGCCUCUAGUUGGAAGUUAGUAGAAGUUAUGCAAUCACUCUGCCUCAGCUACUAUGGCAACUAUAUCUAUCUCCCUCAUAUCUGAGCCUUGCCUGAU